GUCUUUCCUAUUCAGCGCCGCCACUGCAUCUUCCUCGGGAUCCUCUCAGAUCCCCUUCUCACCCAACCAGUGCGAUCCACCAAUCUAGCCCCCUCCAUCCACCGACGCCUCCCCUCCUCGAUCCCGAGGGGAUCACGAGCAGCUCCCCACCGGUUGCCAGCGCAGCAGCGCACCUCACCUCGCGCCAUGGGGCUCCAAGUCCGCCCGGCUCGCCGCCGCUUCUAUCCGGCAGGGAACGAGACCCCGAUGACCUCCCGUGACCGGAUCCAGCACCACCACGGUCGCCACCGCAGCCUCGCCCCCAGUUUUUCGCGAGCAGAGACCCCCAGCGAACCUCUCGCUCCCUUGUGCAAGCCCCUGCUCCGCCCCUCCGUCCUCGCCGUUGGCCCCGGCGGCGCCGCCCCUCGCAGGUCAUCUGGAGCUCCCGAGGACGCCAUGGCUCCUGGACCUCAAGUCUUCACCGGAUCCGACUGGGAAUGGAGGGUCUAGCCCAUCCCCGACCUCUGGCCGUCCCCUGCCUCGCCGGAGCGCCUCCCCGCCAUGACUGCCUGGACCUGAAGCCCAUCUUCACCCUGUUCCACGCCUCGCCUCGCCUCGCCUCUGGUCAAAUCGGCUCCAUAGGGCUGGGACCGUUCGUCCGCUCCAUCCCUGCAGUUCCGCCGGAGUCCUCAGCUCGCCGGAGUUGCGCCAAGUUCCCCUGCAUCGCGCCAGACGCCGCCCUCCGCUGCUGCCUUGCCGCCGUUCCCCUGCGUACUCUGCUUCGUUCGAACGAUUUUUUGUCGAAAGAAACCACCUGUGCAGCCGAAUUGCCAGAAAAGACCCCCUUUAAGACAAUUUGACAAAAAAGACCCCUUUGGCCGUGGCGGCAGGCGCGCCAGGCGACACGUGUCACCUGCCGCCACUGUGCGAGGCGGCAGCCCCUGCCGCCACGGCGUCAGGCGGCAGGCUGCCUGGAACGGGAAUCAACUACUCCGAUGAAACGGGCUGGUGCUGUGGGCCCCAACCGCCUGAGGGGCUGGCGGCAGGACUGUAACAGCCGGGCCCGGCCGCCUCAUGGACUGGCGGCAGGUCCCCAUGCGGUACUCGCCAGCGCCAAUGAUAUAGCUACAAGUUUUUUUUUUUGCAUGGUAUGUAGCUACAAGGUUUAGGCAGGCAGUGGUACCUUGCUACUUCAUUAUACGCGUGCGUGCUUUCAUUUAUAUGUACUUGCAUGCCAAUGAGUGACCGGUUGUA